rnacentral:rRNA from 1 species
AUGGUUAAACAAAAGAGGUUCUGUCUCUUUAUUUUAUAUUGAAUUUAACUUUUAAGUGAAAAGGCUUAAAUUUUUUAGGGGGACGAUAAGACCCUAUAAAGCUUUUAUAAUGAAAUAAUAUUUUUUUAAAAUAAUUUAUAAAAAUAAAGUAAAAUUACUUUAUUUUGUUGGGGCGACAUAGAUAUAAAUAUAUUAUUUAACUGUCAGUAUAUAAAUACAUAAAUUUAUGGAUACGAUAGAUGAUCCUUAUUUAAAGAUUAAAAGACUAAGUUACUUUAGGGAUAACAGCAUUAUUUCUUUUGAGAGUUCUUAUUGAAAAAGAAGUUUGUGACCUCGAUGUUGAAUUAAAGAAUCUUUAUAGUGUAGCCGUUAUAAAAAGAAGGUCUGUUCGACCUUUAAAUCUUUAC